rnacentral:rRNA from 1 species
CAGUAGCCGCGGUAAUACGGAGGGUGCAAGCGUUAAUCGGAAUUACUGGGCGUAAAGCGUGCGCAGGCGGUUUGUUAAGACAGAUGUGAAAUCCCCGGGCUCAACCUGGGAACUGCAUUUGUGACUGGCAAGCUAGAGUCUGGCAGAGGGGGGUGGAAUUCCGCGUGUAGCAGUGAAAUGCGUAGAUAUGCGGAGGAACACCGAUGGCGAAGGCAGCCCCCUGGGCCAACACUGACGCUCAUGCACGAAAGCGUGGGGAGCAAACAGGAUUAGAGACCCCUGUAGUCCCUGUCUCUUAUAC